rnacentral:rRNA from 1 species
GGUUAAGCGACUAAGCGUACACGGUGGAUGCCCUGGCAGUCAGAGGCGAUGAAGGACGUGCUAAUCUGCGAAAAGCGUCGGUAAGGUGAUAUGAACCGUUAUAACCGGCGAUGUCCGAAUGGGGAAACCCAGUGCAAUUCGUUGCACUAUCGUUAACUGAAUACAUAGGUUAACGAGGCGAACCGGGGGAACUGAAACAUCUAAGUACCCCGAGGAAAAGAAAUCAACCGAGAUUCCCCCAGUAGCGGCGAGCGAACGGGGAGCAGCCCAGAGUCUGAAUCAGCUUGUGUGUUAGUGGAACGGUCUGGAAAGUCCGACGGUACAGGGUGAUAGUCCCGUACACCAAAAUGCACAGGCUGUGAACUCGAAGAGUAGGGCGGGACACGUGGUAUCCUGUCUGAAUAUGGGGGGACCAUCCUCCAAGGCUAAAUACUCCUGACUGACCGAUAGUGAACCAGUACCGUGAGGGAAAGGCGAAAAGAACCCCGGCGAGGGGAGUGAAAAAGAACCUGAAACCGUGUACGUACAAGCAGUGGGAGCACCUUCGGGUGUGACUGCGUACCUUUUGUAUAAUGGGUCAGCGACUUAUAUUCUGUAGCAAGGUUAACCGUAUAGGGGAGCCGCAGGGAAACCGAGUCUUAACUGGGCGUUAAGUUGCAGGGUAUAGACCCGAAACCCGGUGAUCUAGCCAUGGGCAGGUUGAAGGUUGGGUAACACUAACUGGAGGACCGAACCGACUAAUGUUGAAAAAUUAGCGGAUGACUUGUGGCUGGGGGUGAAAGGCCAAUCAAACCGGGAGAUAGCUGGUUCUCCCCGAAAGCUAUUUAGGUAGCGCCUCGUGAACUCAUCUUCGGGGGUAGAGCACUGUUUCGGCUAGGGGGUCAUCCCGACUUACCAACCCGAUGCAAACUACGAAUACCGAAGAAUGUUAUCACGGGAGACACACGGCGGGUGCUAACGUCCGUCGUGAAGAGGGAAACAACCCAGACCGCCAGCUAAGGUCCCAAAGUCAUGGUUAAGUGGGAAACGAUGUGGGAAGGCACAGACAGCCAGGAUGUUGGCUUAGAAGCAGCCAUCAUUUAAAGAAAGCGUAAUAGCUCACUGGUCGAGUCGGCCUGCGCGGAAGAUGUAACGGGGCUAAACCAUGCACCGAAGCUGCGGCAGCGACACUAUGUGUUGUUGGGUAGGGGAGCGUUCUGUAAGCCUGCGAAGGUGACCUGUGAGGGUUGCUGGAGGUAUCAGAAGUGCGAAUGCUGACAUAAGUAACGAUAAAGCGGGUGAAAAGCCCGCUCGCCGGAAGACCAAGGGUUCCUGUCCAACGUUAAUCGGGGCAGGGUGAGUCGACCCCUAAGGCGAGGCCGAAAGGCGUAGUCGAUGGGAAACAGGUUAAUAUUCCUGUACUUGGUGUUACUGCGAAGGGGGGACGGAGAAGGCUAUGUUAGCCGGGCGACGGUUGUCCCGGUUUAAGCAUGUAGGCUGGUUAUCCAGGCAAAUCCGGAUAAUCAAGGCUGAGGUGUGAUGACGAGGCACUACGGUGCUGAAGUAACAAAUGCCCUGCUUCCAGGAAAAGCCUCUAAGCAUCAGGUAACAUCAAAUCGUACCCCAAACCGACACAGGUGGUCAGGUAGAGAAUACCAAGGCGCUUGAGAGAACUCGGGUGAAGGAACUAGGCAAAAUGGUGCCGUAACUUCGGGAGAAGGCACGCUGGUGUGUAGGUGAAGCCCCUGCGGGUGGAGCUGAGACCAGUCGAAGAUACCAGCUGGCUGCAACUGUUUAUUAAAAACACAGCACUGUGCAAACACGAAAGUGGACGUAUACGGUGUGACGCCUGCCCGGUGCCGGAAGGUUAAUUGAUGGGGUUAUCCGUAAGGAGAAGCUCUUGAUCGAAGCCCCGGUAAACGGCGGCCGUAACUAUAACGGUCCUAAGGUAGCGAAAUUCCUUGUCGGGUAAGUUCCGACCUGCACGAAUGGCGUAAUGAUGGCCAGGCUGUCUCCACCCGAGACUCAGUGAAAUUGAACUCGCUGUGAAGAUGCAGUGUACCCGCGGCAAGACGGAAAGACCCCGUGAACCUUUACUAUAGCUUGACACUGAACAUUGAGCCUUGAUGUGUAGGAUAGGUGGGAGGCUUUGAAGCGUGGACGCCAGUCUGCGUGGAGCCAACCUUGAAAUACCACCCUUUAAUGUUUGAUGUUCUAACGUUGGCCCCUUACCGGGGUUGCGGACAGUGUCUGGUGGGUAGUUUGACUGGGGCGGUCUCCUCCCAAAGCGUAACGGAGGAGCACGAAGGUUAGCUAAUCCUGGUCGGACAUCAGGAGGUUAGUGCAAUGGCAUAAGCUAGCUUGACUGCGAGCGUGACGGCGCGAGCAGGUGCGAAAGCAGGUCAUAGUGAUCCGGUGGUUCUGAAUGGAAGGGCCAUCGCUCAACGGAUAAAAGGUACUCCGGGGAUAACAGGCUGAUACCGCCCAAGAGUUCAUAUCGACGGCGGUGUUUGGCACCUCGAUGUCGGCUCAUCACAUCCUGGGGCUGAAGUAGGUCCCAAGGGUAUGGCUGUUCGCCAUUUAAAGUGGUACGCGAGCUGGGUUUAGAACGUCGUGAGACAGUUCGGUCCCUAUCUGCCGUGGGCGCUGGAGAAUUGAGGGGGCUGCUCCUAGUACGAGAGGACCGGAGUGGACGCAUCACUGGUGUUCGGGUUGUCAUGCCAAUGGCACUGCCCGGUAGCUAAAUGCGGAAGAGAUAAGUGCUGAAAGCAUCUAAGCACGAAACUUGCCCCGAGAUGAGUUCUCCCUGAGACUUUAAGUCUCCUGAAGGAACGUUGAAGACGACGACGUUGAUAGGCCGGGUGUGUAAGCGCAGCGAUGCGUUGAGCUAACCGGUACUAAUGAACCGUGAGGCUUAACCUU